rnacentral:lncRNA from 1 species
CCUGGGUGGUUACAGUUGCUGGCUGCUCCUCAGAGCAGGGCUGCCUGCCCCAAGGGUGUCUGGCAGGGAGGUGAAGGGUAGAGCUGGGACAAUCCCCAUGCAGGUCAGUGUUAGUGUGUUGCAGUCUGUGGACAGCAGUCGGGAGUCCCAGUGCUGCCCAUAGAGCAGCUCCAAUGAGUGCACUAACUCACAUCUCCAUGCAGGAGCAGUAUGCCUUUUUGUAUGAGGUGCUGCUAGAAGGUUUGCUCUGUGGCUGCACUGGGGUGCCAGUGGAGAGAGUUGCCAGUCACAUCAGCUGCCUCCAAGGAGCUGAGACCCAAAGCCAGAACAGUGUCCUGGAGAAGGAGUUCAAGGCAGUGCAGAAGUUUUCUGAGUUGUUCCAGCUCCUACCGUGCAGAGAAGCGGAGAAACCCAGCAACCAGCCCAAGAACCGCAAGCCAGGAAUCCUGCCAGCCGACUUCUUCCGGCCCAUCCUGAUGUCCUCGCU